rnacentral:ncRNA from 1 species
UAUUAUGCCUUGAAGAAGAGGAGUAAACAGGCCUAUUUUACAGAGAGAAAAUCAUUGGUGGAAGGUUUUUAAAGAUGGUGUGUUGAAGGUAGCUUCUGAGCAUAUUGCAUGAAGUCUAGUUAUCUAAUAGAUAAUUAUAUGUUAGUGUAGUACGGUUGACCCCGUUAUAGGUUUUGAGUGCCGGCUAUUAGCCGGAAUUAAGGUGGUAACGCGAGCUUUCGUCCUUUUG